rnacentral:lncRNA from 1 species
CUAUCACCUAUUUUCCAUCUAUCUCUCCAUCCUUUGAACCUUUGCUUAACACAUUCUUGUGACCAGAGGUCUCACACUCUGGGGCAUCAAGAUUUUAAUAAUGUGGGAAAACCUGACGACAGAUAGUGAAAGUGUAUAUAUGCUUAAUCACACCACAUCUACCACUGUCCGAGAAGCAGAUAGUGUUCAGUUAUCAACCAGUCCUCACAAUGACAGUCCCACCAUUUUACAUGUGAGGAAAUAGAUCCACAGAGGUUGAAUAACUUGUAUAAGAUUAUAAUGGAAUAGCAGAUCCAGGCUUCAACUCUGGACUUUAGAAUGUAUGAAACUAAACCAAUGUACCCUUCACAGGGAUUUCUUGGAAAGGCAUGGUUUGAUGGGAGACAGAAUGGACAGGGUGAGAGUGUCAAGAAAGACUUACAAGGUCACAUUUGAUUUAAAAAAAGGAGAAUGAUAAAGAUUCUGAACAGACUCCCAGCCCCACUCCGGCUAGAAGGCUUGGUGGCUCGUUCAGACACUAUAACUGAGGGUUUUCUUUCCUUUCCCAGGAACUACAUGUUGGCGGAGCACACAGAGCAAAUUUCUAUCCAAAAGUCUCAGAUCACAGAGACUCAAGGACAGAGGAAGCUGGGGUUGCCCAUGGAAGAACAGCUGGAGGAUUUGAUAGGCCCGCACAAGGACCUCUGGGAAUUCCAAGUGAGCCAUUAUCAUCGCCUCUGUUGAAGGCCCUCCUCCCCUGGCUCCAGCAUGUCUGCUGAUGGGCCCAGGGUCCUCCUCCUGCUCAGGCCCAACGCCAAGGGGUAGUCCUUGACUCCUUUCUUCCUGACACCCACUCAGCUCAGUCCACCCAGCCGCCUCUCACCAACCCCCACUGCCGCACUCAGCCUCUGGUGCCCAGACUGUUGCCCUGGUCUUUGCUAACCUCGCUCCCCUCCUGCUCGCCUAGAGUACUCAUCCUGCAGUAGCAAGUGGGAACUCUGACCUAGACAUGGCCAGACCAUCUCUUCAUUCAGCCAGUGUCUCUGGAUGUGUCCAGCGGCACUCCAGAGGGGCCAAGUCUUUGCUGUCCCCAAGCUGGUUAGCGGCACGGGGUGGGCAUGCCCAGAGUCUAAACAGGAAAAUAAGUCGAUAAAUCCUGUAACGCCAGUGGGGAAGUCCUCUGUGAGCAGGUGUCAUCUGAACACAGACACGGAUUAAUAAGCAAGGAAGCCAUGCAGUUGUCAGAGUGCCAGUGUCCCUGAGAGGGAACCUGCCUGGUAUACUUGAGGAAGAGCAAACCGUGGGGCUGGAGGAUGAAAGAGUGGGAAGAGGUGAGGUUUAAGAGGUACACGGGGACCUGGCGAGUGACUGAGGGGGAAAGCGUCUCUCCCCGAGCCCCCCAGGCCCCAGCAGAAGCUGCACACCGAAUGA